CCUACGGGCGGCAGCAGUGAGGAAUAUUGGUCAAUGGACGAGAGUCUGAACCAGCCAAGUAGCGUGAAGGAUGACUGCCCUAUGGGUUGUAAACUUCUUUUAUAUGGGAAUAAAAUGUUCCACGUGUGGGAUUUUGUAUGUACCAUAUGAAUAUGGAUCGGCUAACUCCGUGCCAGCAGCCGCGGUAAUACGGAGGAUCCGAGCGUUAUCCGGAUUUAUUGGGUUUAAAGGGAGCGUAGGUGGAUUGUUAAGUCAGUUGUGAAAGUUUGCGGCUCAACCGUAAAAUUGCAGUUGAAACUGGCAGUCUUGAGUACAGUAGAGGUGGGCGGAAUUCGUGGUGUAGCGGUGAAAUGCUUAGAUAUCACGAAGAACUCCGAUUGCGAAGGCAGUUCACUGGACUGCAACUGACACUGAGGCUCGAAAGUGUGGGUAUCAAACAGGAUUAGAUACCCGAGUAGUC
rnacentral:rRNA from 1 species